GUUUUUCCAUUGAAAGCCUAUCCACCAUACAAAGACUUAUGGCUCAGCUAACGAUCUCUAUGCCUUCUACAACAUGUGGCCAGUCUUUAGGCAUUGUUUCAGGCUUUUACUCAGAAAAAUGAGGGAGAAACAACACAUUCAAUGAGUGGACAGUGGAAAUUUCCAGACAUGAAGCCAGCACACGACCGGGAGAGCACCUUUCUUGAUUUUCCUUUUCUAUUGACGAAGCUUUUGUCCGGUUGAAAUACUAUUGAUUAUUUAUGACAAAAACAACUUGAAGAUUGAUUAUAAACAUCGUUUGGCAUGUUUCUACAAACCUUUAUGGUACUUUUUUGAUUUUUCGUCUGUCUGCGCUUUGUGACCGCGCUUUGUUCCAAUGGAAUACUGAACAAAACGCACCAACCAAAUGGAGGUUUUUAGACAUAAAGAGGGACAUUAUCGAACAACAAACAUUUAUUGUGUAACAUGGAGUCUUCGGAGUGCAACCAUAUGAAGAUCAUCAAAGACACAAGAUGUCCGUAACCCGGCCUAGUUCUCUACAGCUUCUGUGAGUGCUCCUACCCAUGCUAUGGCCUCUUUGUCUUCGUCUUCUGACGAUAAUGCGAAAUCGUCAUCAGAAAAUGUGGACCAAAACGCAGCAGGACGUGACACCGGCCUCUGUGAAGACCAUCUCGCCUUUGUCCCAGACCACCUCUGCUACAGCCUUUGUGAAGACCACCACUGUCUCUGUUGUCUCUCAGGGCACCGCUAGCUCUGCUAUAGCCUCUAAGAGGAACCUCAGAGAGCUGAUUGGUGUGUGAACUACCUGCUCAGGCAGACUGGGAAAGCCAUGCAGGACAUGAACCCCAACUCGGAGGAUACUGAUUCAAUGAAAUUACGUUGGACCAACAUGGAAUAGAUGUUGAAUUGACGUCUGUGUCCAGUGGGCUAUUAUCCCUACCACGUUAGAAGUUCAAAAUGGCAAUAGAAAUGCCUGUCAUCUUAUCUUCUGCUCCUCUGUGAACUGUUUCCUCAUCCUCUCUUUCCAAGCACAGCAGGGAGGGACUGGAUGUCUUGGACUGGCCCUGAUAAACACCAAACACAGGCCAGGUCACAGAGAGGCUGUGUCAGCAUCACACAGCUUGGUUGGCAAACACCAACAGUAAAACAUGUGUGGAUUUUGGUUUUACUAUCCUUGUGCAGACCAGAUGUCCUCACAAGGAUUGUAAAACAAAGAAAAUUGGGGGGACAGUUUGCCGGUCCCAACAAGGAAAAAGGCUAUUUUUGGCUUAGAGGUUAGGUUUAGAGUUAGGGUUAGAAUUAGGGUUAGGGGUUAUGGGUUAAGGUUAGAAGUUAGGGUUAGGUUUUGGGGUUAAUAGGGUUAAGGUUAGGUUAGGGUUAGGAGUUAGGCAAAAUAGGAUUUUGAAUGAGAAUCAAUUGUUUGGUGCCCACAAGGAUAGUGUGUGUGUGUGUGUGUGUGUGUGAGUGUGUGUGUUUAAGAGUGCAUGUAUGCAUGUCUGAACGUGCAUGUGUGCGUGUCUAAACGCACCUGCCUUUGUGUGUGCAAGCAUGCCCGUGUACCCAUGCACGUGUACAAGGCGUGCGUGUGCAUACAGACCUGUGUGAGGGAGGGAGAGAGAGAGGAGGGACUGUGAGACUGUGGUUGACCAGACGUGCAUGUUUGUGAUUGCCUCUAUAGCGGGACUGUGAAGGUCAUACAAAAGAGAUGGAUUCAUCUUAGGUUUUCCUUUCACUCCCAACCACGUUCCAUUCAAUAUACAAACGGCAAAUAGGAUUGUGGGUUCAGGCACUUGAAUUAAAUAAUUUCAGAAGGCUGCCAGAAAGCAAUAUUAAGGUUUAUUUAUUAAUAUUCACG
rnacentral:lncRNA from 1 species